rnacentral:lncRNA from 1 species
AAACAUUGUGUCCAUGUUGUCUUAGUAGCCGAAAACCAAGAGAAACAUUGUAUAGAUCACCAUCACCAUCAUCAUCAUCAUGGAAAUGAUUUGCAGCAUAUAUAUGUUCCAGUGCUUCUUCUAUUUCCUUUUCAAAGUGGUACGCCACGCCUAGGCGCUGGAUUGCAUCAAUUAGCUUCAUCUGAUUUGAAAAAUCAUCUGCACUGGUUGUAAACACUUCCCUCUUCACUGCUAGUUUCAAUUCUUCUACUUCUUGUUGCUUAUGGGCAUAAGUUAUCUGCAUCCACAAAAUUGAAUGAGCAAAAUACAUGUCAAAUUUCUUUUGAAACAAAACAGAGAAACAUGCAUUUAGUCAUUGAAACAAUCUGUAUGAUAUAUAAAUUACAAUGUCUACUGAAUCAUAAUUCAUAAACUGAUCCCCCCAAAUGCUCGGGUGGUAAUUUGCUGUCCGUCGAACAAUUUGAUCAGCCUUAGAAUUUUGUGAUUGAGCAGUUGAACCAGCUUCUAGAACCAUGAUUUGUACUUGUGUAAAAAUGUCAGAUUUUUU